rnacentral:lncRNA from 1 species
UGAAUGAGGAAGAAAAUGAAAAACCCUCUUGCUUUACAUUUUGAGCUCUUAAGGCAAAUGUCACGAUGCCAGCUGUGAUGAGUAGAUAUGCUGCUAUUGUCUACCAUGAAUUAUUGCCUGGGGAUGUACAGGAGAUGGGGAGAUAUUUGACUGCAUCCCCUCUGAUUAUAGCAGUGAGCAAGGCAAAUGGAUGGAAUACAGAUGAGAGAAGUAAUUGAAGCCAUGUUCCUCCAAGGCAUUUAAGC